UUAUGCGAGUCCAUGAGAGCUGCUGUAUUCAGGACUUUGCAGAUGGUUGCAUGAAAGCAAAUCACCAGCAUGACAGUAGUACGUGCUAGGGUUUCCUCUUAAGCAAUUUCCCCAGACAAUGUGGAGGAAGAGACAAGAAGAAAAGUGGUAAUGAACGGAGUCUGGAGCUGUUCCCAUCUCUGUAAGCUCAUGUGUCUACACAAGAGGCAGCAGAAUACAGAGGCAGCCUGGGUGGAGAGAUGCUCCCUGCUUUCCUACUGCACUGAACACGGGAGAAAAGCCUCAAACAGAAGUGAGUAGGGGAUGAUGGGAAACUCCUGGCUAUUCCACCCCCAAACUCCUGUCAAGAUUCAGUCUUGGGAACAGAGGACUCCAUUCUGCAGCAUCUGAGGAGGUGCAUUCCUGUCCCCCUCAGCAGGACUUGUGCUGCUGUGCCUAGCCAUCUGUUGGAGCUGUACCACUCUUCCCCAGGAUACUCAUCCCUGAAGGCUGCCCUGUGGAGAAUUAGCUAGGAAAUAGGAGAAGCUACCCAUCACAGGAAAAAAAAUCCUCAGAAAGUGGUGGGAAAACUGGAGGAUAAUAGCAGCUUCUAUUACCAAGUACAAUGGAAGUUCCUGUACAAAUACUCUACGGCAAUGGGAAUGGGAAGAAGGAAAGAGAACAGUAAAAGUGAAUUCUAACCUCUGAUGCCAGGAAAUGACUCAAUAAAUCAACAGUACUUUGAUCUGCAGAAUUAUGGGAUUUCUCUUCACGAUAAGGAAAAAAUCCAGACAGACCUCUUCAGUGUCUAUAAAAGUCUGUAAAUGACCACAGUCUGCAGUUGGAAAAGCCUGAUGACUGGCAAGAGACCCAGUGAGGACUGAAUAAUCAAGCUGUGCUAUUAAAAGGUUGGCCUACAACAUCAGAGGUGGACAUUGGUGGUAUGGCAGUAGAGGUUGAACCUUCUCGCCAAUAUCCCGUUACAUUCUGUUGCCAUGCAACAGAUCUCAGCAGAGAGGAAGUCUGAUAGAAUGAUGUCUGACGUGGAGGUGAUUGUGGCUGGAUAUAUUUAAAAACAGUUUGAGUGAUACAAGAGGCAAGCUUGUUCUUUUUACAUUCAAAUAUAUGCUUCACAAGGUACAACUUCAUUCUUUCAUCUCUUUUACGAUUCAGUCAUAUUUUAUUGAAAUUUCGUCAGUGUCUCUUUGUCACAGAUCCUGCCAAGCAUGCUCAAGCAGCUGAGAUGAGAGGUUGAAAGAAAAGUGACUGAACAGAAUUUUAACUAGGGACAGACAAAUAUCAGAUGGUUUGUUUCAUAUUGUGAAGCAAAGUACCUGAAUCUACCAUCUCUUUGAACAGUUUAUCCAAGCAUUAACGGAGUGUUCAGCCUGAUUCCACAGUGGUAUCCAGUCUUUCAGAGCAGAAGGUAUAUCUCAAGCUGUGCUGAGUAAUUGUGAAUAACAAUAAUAUUUUCAAAAUAACAGAUAAUUAAAGUAUGUAUUUGACAUUCUGGAAAGCAGAAAAGGACUUUGGUUUCUGUGUUUACCUCUGAACACAUUGCUGUAAUUCUGGUCUAAGCAAACCUAAGCACUUGUUUUCAGACAGUUCUGGCAAUUGCAGUGAAUUUUUAAUCUGCUACUAAACAGGAAACAAGUCAAUCUUCAAAAGUACAGGUAUAGAGGAGAAAAAAAAUAAUAAAAGAACUACAACUGAGUAUGAAAUGUUCAGACCAUGUAAUUAACUCACAUUAUUAUGAAAUUGCAGGCAUUGGUAUAGCUUUACAGUUUAAAGACAAAAGUAAACCUCUAGAUAUACUACUAUUUCUUUAUUUGGCUCAAUGCAUGCUGUUUGUUUGUUUGUUUGUUUGUUAGAAUCACAUAAAUCAGGUAGCAUUUGGAAAUCAGUUAGGAAUUCUUGCGGAGAAAUUGAUGCUGACAGUAUGUUAAAUGAGUUUCAUGGUGGGUCAUAGUUUCAGACAGUGAAGAGAAAGUUUUUAUUCUUACAUUUGUAGCAAUAUGAAAACCAGGAGAAUGAGUGUAUUAUUUUGGCAAGGAUUAACAUACUACAAAAGAAAAUGUCCCCCUGUGGAUGAAAACUGUCUUUGUAUGAUUGUAUGUGAAUGUUGUGCUCUGGCGAGCCUUACUACCCAGUAAGACUAAUAGGAUAAUGUAGUCUUAGUGAAAAAAAUCCUAAAUGAACAAGGAAAGAUUGGUGAUGAAAUCUUUAUCAACACUGGCUUAGGCUUCUGAGUUAAAAAUAAAAGGAAAAGUAAAAAAAAAAAAAAAAAAAAAGACAUUGGAAGUCUGGCUAAUAAGACAUCUAUGUACUUCUGAAACUGAAUCUUAUAAAGCAUAUUUCGUGGGAAGCCAUAUUUAAUGUUGCGUGGAUAACUUGUCUUCUGGCAUUUCUUAACUUUCAAGUGCUUCAUUUCACAAUUUAUAUAACAUUCUUUUAACAUAAGUGGGUUUAGUUUUUGUUUGUCUUUGGUGGUGAAAGAAGAAGAGGUGGUGCUUCUCUGUUUUACGCACCACUUAUGUAGAAACAUUUGUAUAGUAAAUUGCAGAGCCAUACAAUGUGUUCACACAUCUGUGAUCACAGCACCUGCUCCCUGCUCACCAACAUACCCCUUCUGAAACUUAAUCUAACAUUUUACUCUCAUACAAAUUUCAAAUAGAUGCUAUUUAGAAGCCCUUUCCUAAAGGCAUAUACUCUUUUUUUUUCUGUUCUGUUCUUGUAUAUCAGAUUAUAUACCCAAAGAAGAGUAAAGACCUAAGAAACUUGAUUCUAGACCAGUAACAGAAUUUCUGAGAACCAAAAUGUCAAAAGAUUGGCAUGGUUCACUAACCAAUACAACUGAAAAUGGAAUUUCAAAAUCAAAGGGAAAAAAGGAAAAUUUUCUUGGUUCUUAACAGGACAAAGACCAUUUCAUGCUCUUGCAAUUCUGAACCUUGUUUUCCUCAAGAACAUUAUUAUACUUAGAAGCAAUGAAUUUUCUUAAAGGUGAAUGCAUUAAAAGUAAUUUAAAGGGAGACUCAGAAUGCUCUACUUUUUACAGAAUUCUAUACUGAGUCCUAAUACAUGUGUGCAAACGUUAUUCUUUAGAUUUUGGAAAUUAAAUAUAUACAUAUUAAUAUAGUAUUGUCCUUUAUUAGAGCAAAAAUGAAAAGCUCUUCAGAAUGAAAAAAAACAGAAUUCAAUUAAGUUCCCAAGAGAUGCAUAUUAUCAUGUGUUUUUUGGUGUACACUGUAUAAUGCAUGCCAUACAUACACAUCUGUCUUUUCCUUAAAGCUUUCAUUACUUAACUCUUACACAAAUUGAAUUAAGUUUAUAUCUGUGCCAUAAUUAAUAGUGUCUAACAUGGUGGGUUUUGAAUGCCAUCUAAUUUGUAUAACAGCAUAUACAUCAUGUAUCUCCUUUUGGAAACUUAACUUUUAUUAACACUUAUUUACAUUUUAUUAACUGAUUACAGGUCUUUCUCAUGUAUCUCAUUAUAGAUUUCUGUUCACUGGAGGAUCUAUAAUUUCUAUGUAAGACUUAUUUAUAACUGAACAUUGCUUUCACAUUGAAACCAAAGGUUAGCCAAGCAAUUAACAUUGUUUUCAGUGUGUAUUCUUUCAUACAUUAUUCUAUGUCAUCAGUGGUACAGUUUCGGAAGAUAGCUCUUGGUGGUCUCAUUCAGUGGCAGUUCUGGUAGUGCUGGAAAAUUAAUGUUAUGGGGUGGAAAUUUUCACGGAUCCUUCAUCCAUUAUGGAACAAUUUUUCAAAAUAUAGAGCACUUUGUAAGUCAAACAAAGCAGAAUUAUGGUUUGGUGAACUGCAGUCCUGAGUGCAUUAUAGUUUAUUUUUCUGAUGAAAAAAUAAACGAUUACUUUGACUAAUAACUCCCAUGGAAUGCAGGAAAAGAUUACCAUUAGGUAUUUCUUGCCAAAAGAAAGUGAUAUCAUGAUACUCUUAAAGCACACAAAAAAGAUCUGAAUUUACUGGUACAUGAAUAGGUUUUUAGGCCUGGCAUGUGUCAUUACUGUAAAUUUUUUAAACAUUCAGAGUAGUCGAGAACCAGUUUCAUUUUUCUUCUAGAAAAAAAUGUUGUUACUCCUUACACUCUGGGCUCGAUCCAGGAAGAAUCUGUAGUUCUCAUUGACUUAAACAAGGACCACAGGAACUCAGCACCUUCUGGGUGAACUCAUUUAGACAAGUUAUCUGUGGUUAAAUGUGUAUGUGCUCUUUUUGUACAAAUGGAAAGAGAAAUAAACUUUUCAUUUUGCAUACAAAUGCUAUGUUAUGCAUUCCCAAAGGAAGAAUGGAUGUCAGGGGGAAGUUCUUUGUGAAAAGAGUGGUGAGGUGCUGGAACAGGCUGCCCAGAGAGGUUGUGAAUGUUCUGUCCCUGGAGGUGAUCAAGGCCAGGUUGUAUGGGGCCCUGGACAAACUGGUCUAGUAUCAGAUCCGGAGGUUGGUGGCCCUGCCUGUGGCAGGGAGGUUGGAGCUUAGUGAUCCUUGGGGUCCCUUCCAACCCAAGCCAUUUUAUGAUUCUUAGAAAUGACUCUGUAUAACUCAUCAACAUUUAUCUCAUAGGGUAGCUCUAGAAAAUACAUUUUAGUAUAUUCUCCUGCCAAAUGUUAAAGAAACAUCGAGUGAUAAUUAUGUUUCAAUGUGUAUUGAACUGUGUUUGUCAACCUAUUCUACAGAAUAAAUCAGUGAAGAUCUUCUGCUUUCUGACUAAUCAAGUAGAACACAUAUUUUGGAAAGGACUGUUAUCUUGUGCAAUUUUUUUGGAAAAAAAUUCUGGGUUUUAGUUACAUGUUACGUUUAGUUGCAUUUAGUUAAUGGUUUUAAACUAAGACAGGGGAGGUUUAGGUUAGGUAAUAGGAGGAAGUAUUCACAGAGAGGGUGGUGACACACUGGAACAGGUUGCCCAAGGAGGUUGUGGAUGCCCCAUCCCUGAAGGCAUUCAAGGCCAGGCUGGAUGUGGCUCUGGGCGGCCUGAUCUAGUGGCUGGCGAUCUUGCACAUAGCAGGGAGGUUAAAAUUCAGUGAUCAUUGUGGUCCUUUUCAACCCAGGCCACUCUAUGAUUCUAUUAUACAUUUCCAAUAGAGUUCUACCCUGGUACAGUUCUGCUUUUCCCAUUGUGAUACAGAAAGAGCUUGAGCACCUCUAAAAAUUAGUAGGGAUAUUUAUUUAACUACUUAAUAUUUAUUUGGAUGUCAACAUCUAUUUUGAAUAUUCUGUUCAUUGUUUAAGUAACUGAAGGCUUGGAUGAUUGCAGGAAACCACUAAUUUUUGCUAGGAGCAAAAAUUUUGCUAGGACAUGGGUUCUCUAGUGAUGACUGCCCAGGCAUAGUAGAGCAGCAUAUGAAGAAUACAGGAGUUCUAAGUGUAAAGCAUCCAUGAUACAAAGACCAAAUUGAUUAGUAAAGUAAACUAGUAUAUUGAAUGCAUGUCACUACAACUUUUCCAAUAUACAUGCACAUGUAGAAGUCCCAUUAUGUCUGGGAGAAUGGGUUAUUCUUGAGUUAAUGUAGGGAGCAACCACUGUGGAGGGAAAAAAAUUCCCCUUUGUUCUUAUAAUAUUUGUACAGUAAUGUUUACAAAAUAAUCACCUAGAAACAUAAAUAGAAAGAAGAUUCCUCAAGUUUCAAUGACACUAGCCCUGGAGCUGCAUGAUUGAUAGAUAUGGCCCUGAUCCAGCAAAGCAUUUUAUGCACAUCUAACCUUCAUCCUGCAGGUUGUUCAUUGAAAGCACUACAUGCACAAGUAAAGCUAAAUGCAUACUUAACUUGAGAUCUUUUCUGGACUGGAACUCAAGUUAUUAAGAAUUGAGCUUGAAAUCAUGGAAUAAAAAGAAAUCUGAACAGUUGUAAUGACGCUAGUUUCUCAACAGUCAGUACUGCCUGCUAUAAGCUUACACAAACCAGUGUUUCCAUUUCAGAAUACCUAUUUAAGCAUGAAGUUUCAAAUCCUAUUAGGAAAACAUCAAAGUGAAAUUGUAAUUGUCAGCCCUGUACAAAAAGGUUUGAAGUAACUACAGUAAAUAUUUGUUGUCUUAAAUCUCAAAUUUUAUGCACCAGCUUUGUUAUUGUGCUGUAUCAGUUGCCAAGGUUAAAACAUGGCAGAAUAUUUGCACAUAAAAAAUGUUGUAUUCAUUUUAAAGGGCUAAAUCUAUAUACUGAUUAUCAUUGUUUGAAGAAACAGAAGUACAGUGCUUUAAACUGUAACCUUCAUAAAUACUUCUACUUAAAUAGGAACCUCAAAAUCCUAAAGCAAACAAAAAAAUGAUUAUAUGUACAGGAAUAAUGCCCUUAUCACAAUGGGAUAACAAACACAGUGGUUAGUAGCAUCUGAAUAGUGUAACAAGAAUGUUUAUAGUAAGAUGAUUAAAGCCAAAACAUGAUGCUUCAUGAGCAUACUGAAUUCUUUGUUACGUAAGGACUUCAGAAUAGUUUCCAGAUAUUUAUACUAGUAAAGCUACUUUUGGAAGGUAAACCAGUCCUAAGCUUUAAUAGAGUAUAUUUGUCAAAUUAGGAGUCAUAAUAUGACUUGAAGACAAAAAUUUAUAACAGAUAAUUCUGACAAAGACAGGAAAAUAUUUCUUGGUUCAUUUAGUUUUUUUGCUUAAAUUUAAUUCUUUGUUGUACUUCAUGUCUCAGCUCUUGCUCUUUGUAAACAGGUCCUCUUUACUUAGCAUGAUAACUCUUCAAAAUUUGCAGGUAUUUAACUUCAGGCGGUUGCUUCUUUUUUAUAUUAAGUUAUCUAAUUUUAUAUUUUAAAAUAGUAUGAUAUAUCAGUCUUUUGCUAAAACUUAGUGCCGAUUUACAAGAUGCUGGUGACGUUUCUAAAAAUAGGAACAGUUUUAUGAUUGUAACUUAUUAAGUGGUCCACAUGUUAAUUGAGGUUACUGAAAUGGUAAAUUAAAACUUUCUGUGAGGAAAUGAUCUUUACUCCUUUAGUUUAGAUCCUCCAGAUCUUCCAGUAAACAUUUGGCUAAGUUGUCUAAUAUGGUAAAAGUUAAACUAAUUCGUUAUUGUAAAUGCAUCUAUUUCAUUCUAAGAGCAAUAUGGUAAGAUAAUUAUAAACAAUAGUUAUCAAAUAAAUUUACUAGAGUUCUGCUCUUCAUAUAUGCCUUUAGAUGCAUGUAAGCAAAGUGUUCCACUUUUGCUAUAAACCAAAGACAUUUUAGAUUCCAUCACUCAUCCAUGACCAAGACAGCCCAUUUGCAUUUUGAGAAAACAAACUUGAUAAGUGUAGUAGUGAAAUUUGAAUUGUCUGACUCUUUGCCUCAGUAAUUUCCAUCAUCCUGUUAAUAUUACACUGCAAUGUAUUUUACUUAAAGCUCUUAUUGCCCUAUGAAUUAUUUUCUUAUAUGUGAACACAGGACCAAUUCCACAAAAUCUUAAAGUGAGGCAUGAAGUAUUCUUCUGAACUUUGUAUAACUGAUGGCUAAAAUGUCUCAAUACUUUGAGACUACCACUGAAAUCUGAGGAAAGACCUUCAUUGUCCUAUGUGUAUCCUACCUUCACUUAUAUCACAUUAAGCUCCACAGAUAGGCCUCUGACAAGUAGCCUAUAACAUAAACUACUUUUGUACAUAUUUUGAUGUUAUUUUCUUCUUUUUAUUAUAAGUCCAGGGUUAUCACUUUAUGACAUGAUAUUGUACGGUGACAAGUGUAAUUAGACAAUAGACUACAAAAGCAUUCAAUAAAUUAGAAUAAAAAGCUAGCUAUCAGAUAGUAGGGACACGGCACUUUUUCCUUCAUAUUUUAAUAAAGUCUUUCACUGCUUUUCUAUUCCAACCAUUUGCAUGCCUAGCGAACACAAAAUUUACUUUGUUAUUUGUAGUCAUUCAAAAAACCUGUUAUAAAAUCCAUUUGCAGUUGCUUACGGUCAUUCAAACAAAUUAAAGUUAGGUAAGUGAAAGAAUGCAUGUCCCAUUUUGAAGACAGUUGUAGCGUAUGAAUAUAGUACAAAUUAAAAAGUGUGUUUUUAAAAGAAAUUAAUUAUAUAACUAAGUCAUUCAGUAUUCUACAAAAAAAUGAAUUCCUUAUAAAUGUAGUUGUGAGAGGUGGCUGAAAUAGCAAGUGUUCAUUAUUAUAGAAAAAACGUACAAAUUAAGGAUUUUAUUUCUGAUAAAAUAUUUCUCCCUUGUAAUUUUAGUAAGUCUUAAACUUUGCUUUUAAUCAUCUACAUAUGGUUUUGUAGAACUAUUUUAAACUCAUACUAUUUUUCAGUAUGUGACAAAUCUUUUUCUGUGCUUUAAACCUCUAUUAAAAUAAAUAAAUAGUAUCAAUAUAUUUUUUUUCUACAAUAAUGGAGUGUCACAACACAAUCAUGAUUAACUUUCAGUCCUACCCUAAUGACAGAACUUGUUCCUGUGCACAGAAUGCAGGAGGAGGAAUUAGAAAUGAUUAAAAAACAAAACUGUUCUAUUUCUUAUUUCUAUAUCUUUCUAAACACUUGUAGAAAAACACAGAUAAAUAAAAGUCAUAAGCAAAUGAGCAAAAACUACACCACAAACCAAGUCUUUUCUGUUUACAUUUUGAAAAUCAUUUCCACCCAGUUAUCUUUGGCUGUGUGUGCAAGCUCUGUUCCAGUGAAACUGUGACAUUAAAUCCUACAGUAAUGGGUACCAGGCUUUUACAUUUUUAUUUAUUUUUAUUUUUGAUUUCAUACUUAGAAAUUUAGUCAUGAGAUUUUGAUAAAAUUUCUAGCUCUUGAAAAUUACAUAAAAUUAGUAUGAAUGAAAACAAAUCAAGUGCAUAUAAAAUUUACACAUAUGUUGGAAAAAAUCCUAUCCAGUGGUUUUGAUUAGCAUCUUAAAUACAUGUGUAUUAUGAAUUAAGUCAAUCACUGAAAAGUUAACGUUGGCUAGAUUUUCGCCAUCUUAUAGCCCAUGUAUUUGACUUUUUGGAGGGAAGUCAUCUGCUAGUUACCAGUAUGGAGAAUGUUAAGUAGCCUUGUUAAGUCCCUGAGUGCAUCAGAAGGCUUUAAUGAGCCUGACUAGCAUCAUCUGGGGCAUCCAUCCACUCAUACCCUUGGCCUCAGAACUUCAUGAUGAUCUAAGAGUGCGUACACCAAACUGGUCAGUAUUAGCCCUUGGUUCUCUCUCCUUACUUUCAGUCCUCAAAUACUUAUUCCCACAUAAAUGCCAAGGGUAAAUUAUUCUACUGAGUGAGUUGACUGACUAGUAAGACUGAGAUGACGUUUAGAUAGAAAACAAGUUGCACUGUCGCUUUAAUUAUUUUUUUUUUUUUAACUCCUUACAUGGAGAUUUUUGGCUUUUCCUAGCUUUUGAAGGUGUGGAGCCAUUGAUCCCAAAUAUCAGCUUUUUCUUAGCAGAGACUAUUUUGCAUGAACUCUGUCCUACAUAGGCCCUUCUGUUAAAUAGGCAUUUCUAUUUUAUAUAUAAAUUAUUUAUGUGCAGCAAUUUCUAUGUAUGUUUAUACAGUAGCAAAAGCAACAGAAGCCUGAUCUAUAGGAGUAGUGUCACUGAGUGCUAUGCUAGUCAUGAAAACUUUUCUUUGGCUGAAGUCACAUUAGCACAGGGGAUGCUGGGGAUGGAUUUUACUUUGGGCAAAAAAUUCCUCUUUUGUAUGUCUUAGAGUGCCAGCUUUUGAUCUCUCAGAACAGACUGGGAUACUGUAUAUCUUUUCACGUGUACAUGCCAAACAAGACUUUGCUAGUAGGAUGGCAAAAGUAUCUUUUUUUCUUUCCUUUUUCCCUCAGUAAUUUAACAUCUCAUCUCAAAGACAGCUGAAGAAAGGCAGUUAUCUGCCUACCUCUGUAUGUGGGGGGAAUUGCUGAAGUAUAAGAUGGUAAUGUAUAAAAUGGUCUGGAAUUUUAUAUGUUAAUUGGGGGAUGAAAAUGCUGGAAAAUAUAGAAUUUUAAAAAUACAGUUUUAGAAGUGACCUUUACUCAGUAUUUGCGCUCAUUUUUGUUGUGGGAGAUAAAUAACCUGAGACAAGGAAACUCUCAUCAAGUUGUACAGGGAGGUCAUAGUGUUUGAACGUGUGACAUGUCCUCAGAAGAGAUAACACAAUAUUUUUACAGUCUUACAAAAUCAUCACAAUGAACUGCCACAUUUAAUAUAAAACAUUUCAAUUGGUUCUGGUUCCAAGAGAUUGAUAGUGGGGAAAAGUUUGGAAGGUCAGUCUGAGCAAAUACAUGCCAUAUUGUGAAUGUGCAUUAAUUUGAAAUAAAUAAGACUACUUUUUUGCCCUAUACGGUGUAUGUGCAGACACAUCAAAAUAAAUUAGUAGUCCACAUUUCCUAGAAACACAGUAUUUUUCUAUAUACAUUUUUCUGUAGGAAAGUCUAGGCAUAGUUCAUGUAUUCUAACCUUUUUAGGAUGUGUCUUGUGCACAGCUAGUGAUUUUGAAGACUAAUUGUCAAGGAUUUUUUCUGUUGUGAUCAAUUUGAAAUGUGAAUAUAGCGGACCCUUUUCACAUAUACUUUGUCAUAAAUACUAAUGUAUUUUUUAAUAACCAUUCAAAAUAAUGUAACAUUUACUUUUGAAACCAUUUCUACUCAGAAUAUGGUAUGGAAUUUUAGGAUAUUUAGCCAUUAUGCAUUCUGUAUUUGAUAGUCACUUUCCUAAAUGACAAAUACUAGUAAAGAUAUAGUUUUGCUGUAAAACAGCAAUCAUCCUUUAAACUAGAAAGUGAUGCUAUUUGGAAACUAAUAGUCAUCAUAGAUGAGCCAUUAGUAAGGUGGCAACAGUUGUAUUCACUACUGUCUUUGCUUGUUCUACCAAGAGAAUUAAAUUCAAGCUUUGACUCAUAAUUUCAACUCAGAUUCCCCUCUGGGCAUCAAUCCCUGGCCAGUUUUAUCAACAACAACAAAACUCUGACAGUUUGAAGGUUGCAUCUAAAAACGCACAUGGAAAAUAGAGCUUUUUUUUAAACCAUUGACUUUCAAAACAGGUCUGUCCCUUGCAUACAAUCUUGAUAAGUUCCAAUGAACUUUCCAAUGAGGAAUUUGCUAGGUAGAUGUUUGAUGGCAAGCUUGCCUUUUCCAAGGAAAAUUAUGAUCAUCUUCAGUUUAUAUCAAAAUGCUAUCAUCUGAAACAAAAUAUGUGAGUGAAUGCUGUAUGUCUAUCUUUAGAAACAAUGCUAUGCUCAAGAAGAUUUCUGAUGUGUUCUAAAUAUGUCAUUCAGUGACUGAGUUCAAUGUUUGUGAAAACUAAAAGCCAUUGCUAUUUGAUUUAGUCCAGUAUGUAAUUUCUCUUCAUCAUUCUGAUAAACUACUUCCAUUCUUAAAGUUAUUGCUAUUUGUAUGAAUUAAUUUACCAACUAGUAGACAAACUGAGGUACACGAAUUACUGACAAAAAGUGACCAAUAAUGAUGAUGCUGUAAUGGAUGUGGAGUUCGUUAGACCCAGAGAAGCCAUGGGAAAGUUCUUUAAUUGAUAGUUUUCCAUAAACUUGAAAAGAUUUUGUACAUGUAUCAGUGUCAGCUUCCUGAAAACAUUUUGACUGCCAGUGAACUGAUUUGAACAAUGAAAAGUCAAACCAUCAUGCCUUCUUUCAACCACUCACUGCUCUCUUACAGACCACAAGAAGACCAAAGUUGUCAAAUGAGGAAUAUUUGCCUUGUGAUUUACCACUAUACUGCAUCCUUUCUUUCCUGUAUGGAAAUUUUCAUAAGUGGUUUGGCAAACGCCUUUAAAAUAACUGUGGUAUUUGGCAGAAAAAAGGCUGCAGAACUUGGGCCUGCUGUUUCUAUUUUAGUUCAACAGACAGACUUCUCUUAGUGAUAUGAACCAAGUACAGAAUUCAUGGUCCAAAGACAUAAGUUAUUAGCAACAAGUAGAGUAAAAAGGAGACAUGUGGCUCAACCCACAGAAAUUCAUUAGACAAUGGUUUUGUGAAUGCCUGUUCCAAAUAAUUUGUCAAGUCAACUGUUCAUUAUCAUGCAGCCUAAUACUGACUGCGUAUAUAUAUAAAUUUACACAUCAGUAGCUAUAAAAGUGUUUAUAUUUAUCACACAAUACUGUUCAUUAGACAUAGUGGAGUAUGUGAACACACAUGUUAGCAAUUUAUACCCACAAAAUUCAUUCAGUUGUUCACAUGGCAGAGAUCUGUGUACUAUUAGGAGGAAUCUAAACACACACACUUACUUUAUCACUUUUUGAAAGGGCAGACAAAGGUCAAAGUGACAACUUCCUGAACUUUAUUUUCUUUUACUUUCAACAUAUGUCAUCAGAAAACUUACUCAAACUCAAGAUUUUCAAGUGAAAGGAUAAUUUCUUAUUCAUUAAUGCUUAAAACUGCCUAUAAGAGGUGAAGUGACAUUUUGUGGUUACAGAUGUAAUCACAUGCUGCCUGUAUGGGACUGAGUUCUGAAACACCCAGAUUCAACCUCAGUGGGAGUAUUCAUGAACAGUGUCCACCACCAGGCAGUGGUGGCACAGACUACCAUUAUCUUUUGCUCCCAGGAUAUUUCCCCAGACACUCAUGCUUGCAGCCUCUUUCCAGGAGACUAUGUAGAGAUGGGUCCCUGAGUAAGAAAUGAAACAGGAUAAGCAUUGGACUGCUUUGUUUUUUGCAUGCUUAAUGGACUGGUUUAGCUAUGUAAAAUUCACCUCUUGCCAUAUCUUACUGAGGAAGUAUGAAAAGCACAAAGAGGUGAGAGUCAGUUAGAUGUUUUUAAAGAUGGAACUGAUGGAAAAGCAAUUUAUGCUCAUGACAUUGCAGAAUGCUGAAGGGCAAAGCCCUUUACAAAAUUAAACAAAAAAAUCAUAGAAGUUGUCCUUGAGACAGUGACAGGCACCCCAGUAUGAGCCAUCAGGGCAUUAUAUUCAGCCAAACUGUCAGCAUUGGUAGAGGUCCUGCAACCUUUAUUACUGAGAGGUUGAAGAAAGGAAUUCUGUACUAUUUCCCAUUGUGCCGAACAAGAAUUUGCCUGGAAGACUUGCUUGACAGAUUGGCCCUUAUUCCCACUAUGAUUUGUGCUACUGUGAAACAAGAGUGUCUAAUGCAUGGGCUGUAAUAUAAUGACAGGCUAGCUUCAGUUAGUCUGAAAAGUGAUACACAGAUGAAAGUACGGGCUCUGCUCCACCUUUCAUACUUUUUUGUAUUUGCAUUUGGAGCAUACACGGGUGGGACCCCAGACAGAACUGACAGACAAUUAAAAAGCCAUUCAAUACAAGGGACUAUAUCUGCAUGACACAUGACCUCUGCUAGCAGACAAGGUUGUAGGGCAUAAAACAAUAUCUUGCUAUCAACCUGAAGUCUAAGAAGAAUUAUAUUAAGCCCUGCCAACAGGUUAACAUUUUUGCAGCAGGAGCUUUGUUCUGUCUAUGUCUUUCUUAUGAAAACUUUAGGAUUCCUUUUCCCUAAUCUUUCAGAUUUGGGUCAAGAGGUGUGAUAUAUAACACUAAGAAGUAAACAUUAUACAAUUCUGAGGGGAAGUAGGGCACUUUUUUACAAUUUAGUUAAAUUAGAGCUUCUAAUGUCAUAAAAAUGACACUGAUUUUUAAGUGGACAGUGUUGUGUGGGGAUUUAUCAUUGAGAAAUGGAUCUUAGGAAUGUUCUCUUUUGCACCUGCCAAUCUUGCCUUGUAAAUUCUAGUGGAAAUACUAGAGUGUGUCUCAUUAUUUCUGUGUGUAAAAUUUUGGAUCUUAAAAAGACAUUGUUACAUAAAGAGGAUGUUUAUUUUGACAAAAUGAGUAUCUUUGACAUACUAAGACUGCUAAUUCAUUUUGAUCAAAUGUUGGAUACCUUCCUUUCUGAGAGCUUAAUGUACAGGAACACAAACAGAUGCUAUGUGGCUCUUUACUCUUGUAUUGCUAACAUACUUUUGUUGCAAAAAGGGUGUUGCUGAAUAUUGUUUUCAAUUUCUAUGCCAAAUGCAUUCAGAAGUAGUUGCAGUGUCACAGAACAAAUGGAAAUUAAAGUAGUGUUCAAGCUCAAAUCUGCUUCCUUUGAUACUCAGCUGCAAGGAUGGUUUUAAGCAAACUUUGAAAACAAACUUUCUGAGUAUUCAAGGUGUGUAAAUAUAGCUAUAGAAAAUGAAGUGGAAAGUGACUAAACACAUGGAAAAUAUUCUGUUGUUGAUUCUGCUUGAACAGAACUAAAAGAUAAAAUACUUGAAUUGUCAUUAAAUCUUUUUUACCGAAGAUAAGAAAACAUUUUGCAUGUGUGUCCAUUGUGUUUGAGUGUUCAUUUUGUUGUUAUUGUUGUUGUUUAUUUGUUUGUUUUGUGAAUCUGUUGUCCAAACAGAAAAUGGGACACUUGAAUAACUGGCAUGCUUUUGAUGUUUGAUGACUCCCAUAACCCCAUUUUGAAUGCUUUAGAGCUGCGUUCAAAUUAAAUGAGGAUGAGUUGCAACAAAACUGUGAAAUAAUAAUUUUCCAGAGUUUUAGUAUAUUUUGUUAAUUUCUGUGGAAUUUUUGCUGUUAUUGUUCAUUUUAUGAUUUAAUUUGAAUUUAUGAAAAGCUUUGUUGAAAAAACAAAUAAGAAAAAAAAUGCAAAAAGAAAUGGAUCGGUAUUUUAAUAUCCAAAUACAAAAACAAAACAGUGGAAAUAAGAUUUCUUUUCAAAUUGCAG
ensembl:lncRNA